UACGGAGGGUGCGAGCGUUAAUCGGAAUUACUGGGCGUAAAGCGCACGUAGGCGGUCAGGCAAGUCGGGUGUGAAAGCCCUGGGCUCAACCUGGGAAUUGCAUUCGAAACUAUCUGACUCGAGUAUGGGAGAGGGAAGCGGAAUUUCCGGUGUAGCGGUGAAAUGCGUAGAUAUCGGAAGGAACACCAGUGGCGAAGGCGGCUUCCUGGACUGGUACUGACGCUGAGGUGCGAAAGCGUGGGGAGCAAACAGG
rnacentral:rRNA from 1 species